rnacentral:rRNA from 1 species
GUUGUCUCUCUUGAGUGGAUCCUGAGUACGACGGAGCACGUGAAAUUCCGUCGGAAUCUGGGAGGACCAUCUCCUAAGGCUAAAUACUCUCUAGUGACCGAUAGUGAACCAGUACCGUGAGGGAAAGGUGAAAAGCACCCCGGAAGGGGAGUGAAAUAGAACCUGAAACCGUGUGCUUACAAGUAGUCAGAGCCCGUUAAUGGGUGAUGGCGUGCCUUUUGUAGAAUGAACCGGCGAGUUACGAUUUGAUGCAAGGUUAAGCAGUAAAUGUGGAGCCGUAGCGAAAGCGAGUCUGAAUAGGGCGUUUAGUAUUUGGUCGUAGACCCGAAACCAGGUGAUCUACCCUUGGUCAGGUUGAAGUUCAGGUAACACUGAAUGGAGGACCGAACCGACUUACGUUGAAAAGUGAGCGGAUGAACUGAGGGUAGCGGAGAAAUUCCAAUCGAACCUGGAGAUAGCUGGUUCUCUCCGAAAUAGCUUUAGGGCUAGCCUCAAGUGAUGAUUAUUGGAGGUAGAGCACUGUUUGGACGAGGGGCCCCUCUCGGGUUACCGAAUUCAGACAAACUCCGAAUGCCAAUUAAUUUAACUUGGGAGUCAGAACAUGGGUGAUAAGGUCCGUGUUCGAAAGGGAAACAGCCCAGACCACCAGCUAAGGUCCCAAAAUAUAUGUUAAGUGGAAAAGGAUGUGGCGUUGCCCAGACAACUAGGAUGUUGGCUUAGAAGCAGCCAUCAUUUAAAGAGUGCGUAAUAGCUCACUAGUCGAGUGACACUGCGCCGAAAAUGUACCGGGGCUAAACAUAUUACCGAAGCUGUGGAUUGUCCUUUGGACAAUGGUAGGAGAGCGUUCUAAGGGCGUUGAAGCAUGAUCGUAAG